rnacentral:rRNA from 1 species
ACAAACCCUAUCACAGUUCGGAUCGCAGUCUGCAACUCGACUGCGUGAAGCUGGAAUCGCUAGUAAUCGCAUAUCAGCCAUGAUGCGGUGAAUACGUUCCCGGGCCUUGUACACACCGCCCGUCAAGCCAUGGAAGCCGGGGGUACCUGAAGUCGGUCACCGCAAGGAGCCGCCUAGGGUAAAACUGGUAACUGGGGCUAAGUCGUAACAAGGUAACCGUA